GGAUUUUCAGAAGUAUUUUGAUUCAUGUGGAAUGUGGAUUCUGGAUUUGACCUCCUCUAAUUGGUGCUAACUUGUAUACUGUGGCUCUAUUCUGGGGAUGUCUGGGGAUGAGGACCCUUGAAGGGAUGAUUGUACUUGCAAGAUUGGACAGGUAAAAAGAAGCUGGCUGGGAUUUACCAUUUUUUUGUUUGUGGUUCAGCAUCAGGCACUCCCAGCUCCUGCGUGAACAAACUCAAUUGAAGAACAAUAUAAAGAUUUUGCUGAAUGAGAACAGAGAUCUGCUGGUGGAGCAGACUGAACUGACAGCAUCCUAUGUGGAGGCAAAGAGGUUCUGUGAAGAGGAUGGAAUGAACAUCUGUGUGACCAGUGCCAAGCAACAGCUGGAUGUUGAAUUGCCAAUACUUCAAUCUGAACAUUCGAUGAGAAUAAUGGCUAUGCAAAUGAUGACCAACUCAAUAAGUGAUGCCAUGGAGA
rnacentral:lncRNA from 1 species